GAUGAACGCUGGCGGCGUGCCUAAUACAUGCGAGUCGAGCGAACAGAUGAGGAGCUUGCUCCUCUGACGUUAGCGGCGGACGGGUGAGUAACACGUGGAUAACCUACCUAUAAGACUGGGAUAACUUCGGGAAACCGGAGCUAAUACCGGAUAAUAUAUUGAACCGCAUGGUUCAAUAGUGAAAGACGGUUUUGCUGUCACUUAUAGAUGGAUCCGCGCCGCAUUAGCUAGUUGGUAAGGUAACGGCUUACCAAGGCAACGAUGCGUAGCCGACCUGAGAGGGUGCUCGGCCACACUGGAACUGAGACACGGUCCAGACUCCUCCGGGAGGCAGCAGUAGGGAAUCUUCCGCAAUGGGCGAAAGCCUGACGGAGCAACGCCGCGUGAGUGAUGAAGGUCUUCGGAUCGUAAAACUCUGUUAUUAGGGAAGAACAAAUGUGUAAGUAACUAUGCACGUCUUGACGGUACCUAAUCAGAAAGCCACGGCUAACUACGUG
rnacentral:rRNA from 1 species